UGUAGAUAAUAUUUUAGUUGU
rnacentral:piRNA from 1 species